AUUGAACGCUGGCGGCAGGCCUAACACAUGCAAGUCGAGCGGAUGAAGGGAGCUUGCUCCUGGAUUCAGCGGCGGACGGGUGAGUAAUGCCUAGGAAUCUGCCUGGUAGUGGGGGAUAACGUCCGGAAACGGGCGCUAAUACCGCAUACGUCCUGAGGGAGAAAGUGGGGGAUCUUCGGACCUCACGCUAUCAGAUGAGCCUAGGUCGGAUUAGCUAGUUGGUGGGGUAAAGGCCUACCAAGGCGACGAUCCGUAACUGGUCUGAGAGGAUGAUCAGUCACACUGGAACUGAGACACGGUCCAGAGUCCUACGGGAGGCAGCAGUGGGGAAUAUUGGACAACGGGCGAAAGCCUGAUCCAGCCAUGCCGCGUGUGUGAAGAAGGUCUUCGGAUUGUAAAGCACUUUAAGUUGGGAUGAAGGGCAGUAAGUUAAUACCUUGCUGUUUUGACGUUACCAACAGAAUAAGCACCGGCUAACUUCGUG
rnacentral:rRNA from 1 species